rnacentral:rRNA from 1 species
GACGGAGGAUGCAAGUGUUAUCCGGAAUCACUGGGCGUAAAGCGUCUGUAGGUGGUUUAAAAAGUCUGCUGUUAAAAAUUGAAGCUUAACUUCAAAGGUGCUGUAGAAACUUUUAAACUUGAGGAUGGUAGGGGUAGAGGGAAUUUCCAGUGGAGCGGUGAAAUGCGUAGAUCUUGGAAAGACCACCAAUGGCGAAGGCACUCUACUGGGCCAUGACUGACACUGAGAGACGAAAGCUAGGGGAGCAAAUGGG